CAAAGUAAUUUUUUUUUUUUAAAUGAACAUAUUCGUUGCUUCUCUUCCUCCAACAGAAAAUCCAGGCUACUCUGAGAUGAACACAGUGAAAACUACAGAUUCUGCUGGUGAUUCUGCUCCUGGGUCAGGUGAUGUGACGUAUGCCCAGAUUCAACUAAAGUUGGACAAGACAAAGAACGAAUCAAAACCCCCACAAGAGUCAGAAUCAGUCUACUCUCAAGUAAAGCCAGACCCAGCCCACGGUCCUUGAGGGAGAUGUAAGGGAAACAAUCAGUUGAAGGGAACAUGGAUGUGUUUUUUCCCCAAUUCUCCCUGUCACAAAAGUGUGAGCCCACACCACGCAUGAACGGAUUUACCACAGCCGCAAUCACACACAAAAACCAACUUUCAAUAGUUUUUCCUGUCAGACAAUAUAUUUAACAACAGAUUUAUAGAGCAUACUGAAUCUGUUGCUUUUUACAUUACUUGUAG
ensembl:lncRNA